rnacentral:rRNA from 1 species
UCCUCCCUCUGUCGGCGUGCUUAACACAUGCAAGUCGAACGGAAAGGCCCUGCUUUUGUGGGGUGCUCGAGUGGCGAACGGGUGAGUAACACGUGAGUAACCUGCCCUUGACUUUGGGAUAACUUCAGGAAACUGGGGCUAAUACCGGAUAGGAGCUCCUGCUGCAUGGUGGGGGUUGGAAAGUUUCGGCGGUUGGGGAUGGACUCGCGGCUUAUCAGCGUGUUGGUGGGGUAGUGGCUUACCAAGGCUUUGACGGGUAGCCAGCCUGAGGGGGUGACAGGCCACAUUGGGACUGAGGUACGGCCAAGACUCCUACGGGAGGCAGCAGUGGGGAAUAUUGCACAAUGGGCGGAAGCCGUAUGCAGCAACGCCGCGUGCGGGAUGACGGCCUUCGGGUUGUAAACCGCUUUCGCCUGUGACGAAGCGUGAGUGACGGUAAUGGGUAAAGAAGCACCGGCUAACUACGUG